UACGUAGGGGGCUAGCGUUGUCCGGAAUCAUUGGGCGUAAAGAGCGUGUAGGCGGCCCGGUAAGUCCGCUGUGAAAGUCGGGGGCUCAACCCUCGAAUGCCGGUGGAUACUGUCAAGCUCGAGUCCGGAAGAGGCGAGUGGAAUUCCCGGUGUAGCGGUGAAAUGCGCAGAUAUCGGGAGGAACACCAAUGGCGAAGGCAGCUCGCUGGGACGUGACUGACGCUGAGACGCGAAAGCGUGGGGAGCAAACAGG
rnacentral:rRNA from 1 species